CCAAUUCUGCAUCCAAUUCGUGCAGAAUUGACUCUGACUCAGUCCGACACUCUCCAGAGAUGUCGACUAGUCACUAAUACUGAAGCCAAUCCUAUCCAAAGGUCAAGAACACUACAACCGGCUUAGGAUUCCCGAUUCAAAGGAUAUAUAGAUAUAGAUUUAUAUUUUAAAUUUAAAAUUUUAAAUUAAGUACAAAAUUUUAAUUUCUGUUAAGAAGAGAUUCAGUUUAAAAUUUAUAUUUAUAUUUAAAUUUUUUUAAAUUUUGUGGGUUCCACAGGGAAAAAGCAAAAAAAAAAGCCCGCUCCGCGUCGGCUCGCGCCAGCUCCCGCUCGCGAUCGAUCAAAAUAAGAUAUUCGAUUUAAAAUUUAAAUUUAAAUUUUAAUUUAUAUUUAAAAUUAACAUUUUUAUUUUUAUUUUUUGUAUGUAACUUAAAUUUAUAUUUAUUUUUUUUAAAUUUUGUGUGUCCCACAGGAAAAAGCAUAAAAAAAAGCCCGCUCCGCGCCGGCUCGCGCCCGCUCCCGCUCGCCCGCAAUCCAUCAAAAUAAGAGAUUCAAUUUAAAAUUUUAAUUUUAAUUUUAAUUUAUAUUUAAAAUUUAAAUUUAAAUUUUUAUUUUUUGGAUGUGAGUCACAGUACUGCAAAAUAAGGGGAAAAAAAGUUAGAAAAGGGAGAAAAAAAGUCCUCUAGUGAUUAAUCAUAUAAUCUACCUUGCUAGAAAGAAGGAAAAGUAGUAAAAAGUAAUGAUAAUUUCAACAUUAAAUUCUCCACUUUUGCUGGGAAUUACAGGUUUGAUAAUCUAAAGACUUUGAAAGCGAAAAAGUGGUCACCUACUUUCAGGAAAAAAGAGGGAUUAUUUAUAAUGAGAGAACAAAUUUAUGAUGAGGCCAUUUUUUAGUAGAAUUCUUGCAUCUUCAAUGCAUCAACUCCCUUUGUAACCCUGUGAUCCCCACCAAGAUCAAUAAUGUUUAAUCAUAUAAACCAAAUUAUUGAAUGGGUCCUAAUGCUCGAAAUCGGGAUCUGAGGAUCAUUUGAGUUUUCGCUAUCUGAGAUCAUUUGUGGUUCUUACUUGAUGCUAUGCUUAGUUGUCCUCCAUGACUCAUGUUAAGUAAAGCUUGUCAAGGAUGAAUUUAAUGGUACUUGCAGAGCCUUUUCUGUCUCAUUAUUUUGU
rnacentral:lncRNA from 1 species